ensembl:lncRNA
GGGGAGUGGAGGGUGAAUGGAAAUCAGAGAGAGAAGGAGCGAUUGAAGGGUGGAGGGGAGGAAUGAUAACUACAGAGGAGGCGAGGGGGGAAGAGGAGGAGGAGAAGAAGAGGAGAGCAGGAUUAUGGAGGUUAUGGUAGUAGGUGCCAAGGGCACCAGGUUUGUGUCAAGAACUGCAACGUCGCAACAGUUUCCUGUGUGUAUCAAGAAUGGUCCACCAACCAAAGGACAUCCAGUCAACUUGACACAACUGUAAGAAGCAUUGGAGUCAUUAAUGGUUCUAAGUUGUGUAUCCCCACAAGGUCUUAAUCUCGUCCCUAAUGCAGGCGGGAAAUGUGGCGGGAGAGUUUGGUGUUACGGCUUUCCGACUUUAAUGACUUGCAGUUGGAGGAGCCCUCUGGAGCAUCGCCACUUUAAGUCAUGAGGAUGGGGGGGAUUUAUCUGACUGUGACUGUCACAUGGGAGCACAUGGGAGCACCAUGCUGGGCCUUACUGUAUGAGUAGAGAGUAGAGUAGGACCGGAGUUAGAAAUUAAAAGAUUUUCUAGAUUAGAAACUGUAUUGUCCAUUAAAGGUAAAAAUAUAAUUACUCAUUAACAAAAUAGUGUGUAGCCCACAUAGCAUUACAGUAAAAUUACACACCAAAAGAGUCAGCGGUAAAGGAACAUACGACAAAUCAGGGUAGUGUUCAACAGUAGUAUUUCAGACAGCCAGAUGAUGCCAUAUUGUCCCUGCCUGCUCUUUGACUAUGCAGUGCAUUCCAGGUGAAAGUUUUCCAUAAACACAGACCUAGGGUCAGUUUACUCUCCCCAGAUCCUAGUCUGAACCAUCUGGAGUAAACAAAGCAAUACUGACCACAGAUCAUGACAUCAUCGUCCCUCUCACAUCAGCCCCUUGGGAGGCACACACACACACACACACUUAAGGUAAAAUCUCCCUCCGUUUUAUUCUGUUACCAAAUGUUGUAUCUGCACCGCUCUUCCUGUAAAUGUAAUUUUGUCAAAUGUUCUGUGGAAAUUGUUAAAAGAGUUGUAUGUUUUGUGAAACUUUGAAAUCAGUGUUUUUUAUUUGGUGUACAUUUAAAGUGAAACAUUUUAGUCCUAGCGUAAUUCUGUCACCAUGGAAUUGCCCAUAUGCUACUGCCCAGUCACAGAAAAACUAGAUUAAAACACUGGCUCUAUGAAAAUCAGCUGUAUGUGAGUGUGCGUCUGUUUUCUUUAUGUGUGUGUGUGUGUCUACAGUUCCCUCCCAGCUUUUAAGACUAACAUUGAAAAAGCAGAUUUUUAAAGGUCACAAUACAGCAGGCUCUCUACACGCUUCUCUCUCCAGCUGGUCCUUUGUGUGUCUGUGUGUGUGUACAGAUUGGUAUAAAUAAGCUC